rnacentral:rRNA from 1 species
UACGAGAGGCGCAAACGUUAUUCGGAAUUACUGGGCUUAAAGAGUUCGUAGGCGGUUCGUCGCGUCUGCCGUGAAAACCCGAGGCUUAACCUCGGGCCUGCGGUGGAUACGGGCGGACUAGAGGUAGGUAGGGGAGAAUGGAAUUCCCGGUGUAGCGGUGAAAUGCGCAGAUAUCGGGAGGAACACCGGUGGCGAAGGCUGUUCUCUGGGCCUUACCUGACGCUGAGGAGCGACAGCGUGGGGAGCAAACAGG